CAAGUUUCAGACGACACAAUCUGCUUCGACACUCAGCAGGGCGCAGCCUCCGCUAUUGCCUCAGCUAUCGCCUCAGGUGACAAGCUGGACACUCUUCUUAGGAUAUCGUGAUGUUAUUUGCCUUGAACUUGAAUCAAAUCAUUGCAUAUUGAGAGAAGAUAAUGAAGCAAUCAAAGGAUCCUUUUGAAGUUGCAUUUGAGGAGCAAGAGGAAUCACCACCUAAUUCCCCCAUCGCCCCUGAUGGGAUCGAAACUCAAACUACCGCUGCACAGGUCACUCUUAAUCUUCAGGAAGAUGAAGAUGAAGAUGAUAGAGCCGGUAUUCAUCCUACGAAGCCAUCAACAUCGACUGCUGCUGCUGCAUCAAACUCCAUUGGGACCACUAUCCGAACCCGCAAGAGCAAAGAAGAAGAAGAGGAGGAAGAGGACGAAAACAUGGAUGUUGAGCUUGGAAAGCUUCCAUCUACUGGGGACCCCGAUAAAAUGGCCAAGAUGCAGGCUAUUUUGUCACAAUUCACAGAGGAACAAAUGAGUAGAUAUGAAUCGUUCCGCAGAUCUGGAUUUCAGAAAGCAAACAUGAAAAGGUUGUUAUCAAACAUCACUGGAAGUGCAAAAAUUUCUGUACCAAUGACAAUCGUGGUGUCAGGAAUAGCAAAAAUGUUUGUUGGUGAACUUGUUGAAACAGCCAGAAUGGUGAUGACAGAGAGAAAGGAGAGUGGGCCAAUCAGGCCUUGCCACAUAAGGGAAGCACAUAGGAGACUAAAACUUGAAGGCAAGGUACCAAAAAGAUCGGUGCCGAGACUCUUCCGGUAGAUUUACCUGGAGCAGCUUUGUGCUGAAAAUUUCAGUUGCAGAAGAAUCCGAAGGUCGGGCAUAAAAACAUGGAUAUGAUCAUUCGACUAUACUAAGCAUAGGCAAGUUCACAUAAGUCUUCCUUGGAUGCUAUGCUUUUCACUUAUUUCAGAGUUCGUGUUGAGGAAGGAUCUUAUUUUGGAGCACUCAUACGAUGCAGUGGGUGGAGAGGAGCAAGUUGCUGAGUCCCUGAAGAAAAUGGUUCCCACAAAUGAUCAUUUUGGUGAAUACAAAAACCUACUGCCAUACUUUGAAGGAAAAGAAGCGUUUCCCUAAAUAAUCAACAGACAAUAAGAAAUGAUUGUUAAAUCUAUUGGAUCACCUUUGUUGCUUCCACAAACAUGGUUAUGUGGUGUUCCUUCUGGCAUUUAAUCUUUUUUUUUUUU